rnacentral:rRNA from 1 species
AGAGAAGCUUGCUUCUCUUGAGAGCGGCGGACGGGUGAGUAAUGCCUAGGAAUCUGCCUGGUAGUGGGGGAUAACGUUCGGAAACGGACGCUAAUACCGCAUACGUCCUACGGGAGAAAGCAGGGGACCUUCGGGCCUUGCGCUAUCAGAUGAGCCUAGGUCGGAUUAGCUAGUUGGUGAGGUAAUGGCUCACCAAGGCGACGAUCCGUAACUGGUCUGAGAGGAUGAUCAGUCACACUGGAACUGAGACACGGUCCAGACUCCUACGGGAGGCAGCAGUGGGGAAUAUUGGACAAUGGGCGAAAGCCUGAUCCAGCCAUGCCGCGUGUGUGAAGAAGGUCUUCGGAUUGUAAAGCACUUUAAGUUGGGAGGAAGGGCCGUUACCUAAUACGUGAUGGUUUUGACGUUACCGACAGAAUAAGCACCGGCUAACUCUGUGCCAGCAGCCGCGGUAAUACAGAGGGUGCAAGCGUUAAUCGGAAUUACUGGGCGUAAAGCGCGCGUAGGUGGUUAGUUAAGUUGGAUGUGAAAUCCCCGGGCUCAACCUGGGAACUGCAUUCAAAACUGACUGACUAGAGUAUGGUAGAGGGUGGUGGAAUUUCCUGUGUAGCGGUGAAAUGCGUAGAUAUAGGAAGGAACACCAGUGGCGAAGGCGACCA